rnacentral:rRNA from 1 species
AUGGACAUUUAUAGGAGUGAGGAGCUGUUUUGGCAAUGUCGAGGGGGCCAAAACUGGCUCCUUAAGGGGGGUGCUAAUACAGCAUACUUUCAGGCGAUUGCUAACGGCCGCAGGCGAAAAUGUGCCAUCCCGUUCCUCUGGGAUGGGGGUGUUCUUUUGGAGAACUCAGAGGACAUCUCCUCCCAUAUCCACUCCUUUCAUUAGGAGCUUUUCUCGGCUGAGCCACGCGGAGGCGUCUCCCUCCACACUGACGUCUGGCCGCUUGUUGAUUAG